UCCCGGUUGAUCCUGCCAGAGGUUACUGCUAUCGGUGUUCGACUAAGCCAUGCGAGUCAUAUGUUCUUCGUGAACAUGGCGGACUGCUCAGUAACACGUGGAUAACCUGCCCUUAGGUUUGGCAUAACUCCGGGAAACUGGAGAUAAUUCCGAAUAGGUCAAAUAUGCUGGAAUGCUUUUUGACCAAAAGACCUCGGUUGCCUAAGGAUGGAUCUGCGGUCUAUCAGGUAGUAGUGGGUGUAACGUACCUACUAGCCUACGACGGAUAUGGGUUGUGAGAGCAAGAGCCCAGAGAUGGAUUCUGAGACAUGAAUCCAGGCCCUACGGGGCGCAGCAGGCGCGAAAACUUUACAAUGCGGGAAACCGCGAUAAGGGGACACCGAGUGCCAGCAUUUAUGUUGGCUGUCCACAUGUGUAAACGGCAUGUGUUAGCAAGGGCCGGGCAAGACCGGUGCCAGCCGCCGCGGUAACACCGGCGGCCCGAGUGGUAAUCACUUUUAUUGGGUCUAAAGGGUCCGUAGCCGGUUUGAUCAGUUCUUCGGGAAAUCUGACAGCUCAACUGUUAGGCUUCCGGGGAAUACUGUCAGACUUGGGACCGGGAGAGGUAAGAGGUACUACAGGGGUAGGAGUGAAAUCUUGUAAUCCCUGUGGGG
rnacentral:rRNA from 1 species